GUAGGAAUCCUCAAAUAACAACCUUUUAUCAUAAUGUCCCGUGCCAGAGCAAGCUGUGGUUCUGAACCAUUGCCUGGCCGCUAGUGGUAGGCUGCUGGCACUGAAGUAGGUUGCACAGUG
rnacentral:snoRNA from 1 species